rnacentral:rRNA from 1 species
CCUACGGGUGGCAGCAGUGGGGAAUAUUGGACAAUGGGCGAAAGCCUGAUCCAGCCAUGCCGCGUGUGUAAAGAAGGCCUUCGGGUUGUAAAGCACUUUCAGUGGGGAAGAAAGCCUUGGGGCUAAUACCCUCGAGGAAGGACAUCACCCACAGAAGAAGCACCGUCUAACUCCGUGCCAGCAGCCGCGGUAAUACGGAGGGUGCGAGCGUUAAUCGGAAUUACUGGGCGUAAGGCGCGCGUAGGCGGUCUGAUAAGCCGGUUGUGAAAGCCCCGGGCUCAACCUGGGAACGGCAUCCGGAACUGUCAGGCUAGAGUGCAGGAGAGGAAGGUAGAAUUCCCGGUGUAGCGGUGAAAUGCGUAGAGAUCGGGAGGAAUACCAGUGGCGAAGGCGGCCUUCUGGACUGACACUGACGCUGAGGUGCGAAAGCGUGGGUAGCAAACAGGAUUAGAUACCCUUGUAGUC